rnacentral:rRNA from 1 species
GAGUUUGAUCCUGGCUCAGGAUGAACGCUAGCGACAGGCUUAACACAUGCAAGUCGAGGGGCAGCACGGGUAGCAAUACCCGCCGGCGACCGGCGCACGGGUGAGUAACGCGUAUGCAACUUACCUAUCAGAGGGGGAUAACCCGGCGAAAGUCGGACUAAUACCGCAUGAAGCAGGGGCCCCGCAUGGGGAUAUUUGCUAAAGAUUCAUCGCUGAUAGAUAGGCAUGCGUUCCAUUAGGCAGUUGGCGGGGUAACGGCCCACCAAACCGACGAUGGAUAGGGGUUCUGAGAGGAAGGUCCCCCACAUUGGUACUGAGACACGGACCAAACUCCUACGGGAGGCAGCAGUGAGGAAUAUUGGUCAAUGGGCGUAAGCCUGAACCAGCCAAGUCGCGUGAGGGAUGAAGGUUCUAUGGAUCGUAAACCUCUUUUAUAAGGGAAUAAAGUGCGGGACGUGUCCCGUUUUGUAUGUACCUUAUGAAUAAGGAUCGGCUAACUCCGUGCCAGCAGCCGCGGUAAUACGGAGGAUCCGAGCGUUAUCCGGAUUUAUUGGGUUUAAAGGGUGCGUAGGCGGCCUUUUAAGUCAGCGGUGAAAGUCUGUGGCUCAACCAUAGAAUUGCCGUUGAAACUGGGAGGCUUGAGUAUGUUUGAGGCAGGCGGAAUGCGUGGUGUAGCGGUGAAAUGCUUAGAUAUCACGCAGAACCCCGAUUGCGAAGGCAGCCUGCCAAGCCAUGACUGACGCUGAUGCACGAAAGCGUGGGGAUCAAACAGGAUUAGAUACCCUGGUAGUCCACGCAGUAAACGAUGAUCACUAGCUGUUUGCGAUACACUGUAAGCGGCACAGCGAAAGCGUUAAGUGAUCCACCUGGGGAGUACGCCGGCAACGGUGAAACUCAAAGGAAUUGACGGGGGCCCGCACAAGCGGAGGAACAUGUGGUUUAAUUCGAUGAUACGCGAGGAACCUUACCCGGGUUUGAACGCAUUUCGACCGCUCUGGAAACAGAGCCUCUAGCAAUAGCGAUUUGCGAGGUGCUGCAUGGUUGUCGUCAGCUCGUGCCGUGAGGUGUCGGCUUAAGUGCCAUAACGAGCGCAACCCUUGCCACUAGUUACUAACAGGUAAAGCUGAGGACUCUGGUGGGACUGCCAGCGUAAGCUGCGAGGAAGGCGGGGAUGACGUCAAAUCAGCACGGCCCUUACAUCCGGGGCGACACACGUGUUACAAUGGCGUGGACAAAGGGAAGCCACCUGGCGACAGGGAGCGAAUCCCCAAACCACGUCUCAGUUCGGAUCGGAGUCUGCAACCCGACUCCGUGAAGCUGGAUUCGCUAGUAAUCGCGCAUCAGCCAUGGCGCGGUGAAUACGUUCCCGGGCCUUGUACACACCGCCCGUCAAGCCAUGGGAGCCGGGGGUACCUGAAGUCCGUAACCGCGAGGAUCGGCCUAGGGUAAAACUGGUGACUGGGGCUAAGUCGUAACAAGGUAGCCGUACCGGAAGGUGCGGCUGGAACACC